rnacentral:misc_RNA from 1 species
CUGCGUGUUUAUUGCCUUUAGCGGCUGCAACGUGAAGAGCUGUCAUUUCCCGGGUUUCAGUAGCAAUGUAGGCAAUAGAUUUAUCCUUAUCUAAUAGAGCUACCACCAUUGACCUAGAACCUUCAUGUGCAGCAACAUGGAGUGGAGUCCACUCGAACUUUCCCUUUUUUUUAACCAAACUACCUUGUUUCUCCAAGAGCACACAGACUACGUCUGUAUCCCAUCGUCUUACUG